rnacentral:rRNA from 1 species
AGAGUUUGAUCCUGGCUCAGGAUGAACGCUGGCGGCGUGCCUAAUACAUGCAAGUAGAACGCUGAAGCUUGGUGCUUGCACCGAGCGGAAGAGUUGCGAACGGGUGAGUAACGCGUAGGUAACCUGCCUCUUAGCGGGGGAUAACUAUUGGAAACGAUAGCUAAUACCGCAUAAAAGUCGACAUCGCAUGAUGUUGACUUGAAAGGUGCAAUUGCAUCACUAAGAGAUGGACCUGCGUUGUAUUAGCUAGUUGGUGAGGUAACGGCUCACCAAGGCGACGAUACAUAGCCGACCUGAGAGGGUGAUCGGCCACACUGGGACUGAGACACGGCCCAGACUCCUACGGGAGGCAGCAGUAGGGAAUCUUCGGCAAUGGGGGCAACCCUGACCGAGCAACGCCGCGUGAGUGAAGAAGGUUUUCGGAUCGUAAAGCUCUGUUGUAAGUCAAGAACGAGUGUGAGAGUGGAAAGUUCACACUGUGACGGUAGCUUACCAGAAAGGGACGGCUAACUACGUGCCAGCAGCCGCGGUAAUACGUAGGUCCCGAGCGUUGUCCGGAUUUAUUGGGCGUAAAGCGAGCGCAGGCGGUUUGAUAAGUCUGAAGUUAAAGGCUGUGGCUCAACCAUAGUUCGCUUUGGAAACUGUCAAACUUGAGUGCAGAAGGGGAGAGUGGAAUUCCAUGUGUAGCGGUGAAAUGCGUAGAUAUAUGGAGGAACACCGGUGGCGAAAGCGGCUCUCUGGUCUGUAACUGACGCUGAGGCUCGAAAGCGUGGGGAGCGAACAGGAUUAGAUACCCUGGUAGUCCACGCCGUAAACGAUGAGUGCUAGGUGUUGGAUCCUUUCCGGGAUUCAGUGCCGCAGCUAACGCAUUAAGCACUCCGCCUGGGGAGUACGACCGCAAGGUUGAAACUCAAAGGAAUUGACGGGGGCCCG